rnacentral:piRNA from 1 species
UGUAGUGUUUCAUAGAUAUUUUCCUGGAA